rnacentral:rRNA from 1 species
GGCGGACGGGUGAGUAACGCGUGGGUAACCUGCCCUAUACACACGGAUAACAUACCGAAAGGUAUGCUAAUACGAGAUAAUAUAAGAGAUUCACAUGGGUUUCUUAUCAAAGCUGAGGCGGUAUAGGAUGGACCCGCGUCUGAUUAGCUAGUUGGUAAGGUAACGGCUUACCAAGGCGACGAUCAGUAGCCGACCUGAGAGGGUGAUCGGCCACAUUGGAACUGAGAUACGGUCCAAACUCCUACGGGAGGCAGCAGUGGGGAAUAUUGCACAAUGGGCGAAAGCCUGAUGCAGCAACGCCGCGUGAGUGAUGAAGGCCUUCGGGUCGUAAAACUCUGUCCUCAAGGAAGAUAAUGACGGUACUUGAGGAGGAAGCCCCGGCUAACUACGUGCCAGCAGCCGCGGUAAUACGUAGGGGGCUAGCGUUAUCCGGAUUUACUGGGCGUAAAGGGUGCGUAGGUGGUCUCUUAAGUCAGGAGUGAAAGGCUACGGCUUAACCGUAGUAAGCUCUUGAAACUGGGAGACUUGAGUGCAGGAGAGGAAAGUGGAAUUCCUAGUGUAGCGGUGAAAUGCGUAGAUAUUAGGAGGAACACCAGUAGCGAAGGCGGCUUUCUGGACUGUAACUGACACUGAGGCACGAAAGCGUGGGGAGCAAACAGGAUUAGAUACCCUGGUAGUCC